rnacentral:rRNA from 1 species
CUACGGGGGCUGCAGUGAGGAAUAUUGCACAAUGGAGGAAACUCUGAUGCAGCAACGCCGCGUGGAGGAUGACGCAUUUCGGUGUGUAAACUCCUUUUAUAUGUCAAGAAAAUGACGGUAGCAUAUGAAUAAGCUCCGGCUAACUCCGUGCCAGCAGCCGCGGUAAUACGGAGGGAGCAAGCGUUACUCGGAAUCACUGGGCGUAAAGGACGCGUAGGCGGGAUAGAAAGUCAGGUGUGAAAUCCUAUGGCUCAACCAUAGAACUGCACUUGAAACUUCUAACCUAGAGUAUGGGAGGGGAAGAUGGAAUUAGUGGUGUAGGGGUAAAAUCCGUAGAUAUCACUAGGAAUACCAAAAGCGAAGGCGAUCUUCUGGAACAAUACUGACGCUAAGGCGUGAAAGCGUGGGGAGCAAACAGGAUUAGAUACCCUUGUAGUC